UUGCCAGACUGGCUCUAGAUUGGAAAUCUGAUGGUUAGGGCCCCCUGGUCUAUCAUGGAAAAACUACUCCUUGAACCAAUGUUUGUAGUUCCCAAAUAUGACAUUGUGUGUGUGGAGCUGGACCAGGAUGUAGUGGAAGGGAACAAGGAGCCUAGAUAUAUCAGAGCUCAAGAGAAGGAAGUAACAGAAGAGUAUGAUUCAGGAGUAGAAGAGGAAAGGUGGCCUCGAAAAGCAGAUGCUGCAAACAAUUAAACCCUGUACUGGUUAUCCCUUUUUUAAAAC